rnacentral:rRNA from 1 species
AACGUAGGACGCAAGCGUUAUCCGGAGUUACUGGGCGUAAAGCGCGGGCAGGCGGUCGGUCAAGUCUGAUGUGAAAUCUCUCCGCUCAACGGGGAGCAGCCAUUGGAAACUGGGCGACUGGAGUCUGACAGAGGUAGGCGGAAUUCCGGGUGGAGUGGUGAAAUGCGUAGAGAUCCGGAGGAACACCUGCGGUGUAGACGGCUUACUGGACCAUAACUGACGCUGAGGCACGAAAGCGUGGGUAGCAAACAGG